GGGGCUGAUUUGGUUUUGACAUUUAAAAGUUAAGUAAAGUAUGAUGCAGGUCGAAGCUGUUAUUCUUCGUAAAAACAUGCAACUUUAGAAUAAAUGCUAACAAUAUAAUUUCUUUCAACUUUAAACAAGCAACUAAAAGUUCUAAUACUUUCAGUUUUGCGAUUUAAUACAUAAUCUAUUUUGUUAAAUUUCUUUGUUCGCUAUAACUAGACUUUUUUCUUUUUUAUAGUUUAGAAUAUUUUUAUCUGAAUUUUCAUUCUGUUCAUUUUAAUGAACUAAACCUGUGAAUGAGUACUUUAAUAAAAUUUAAAUGGACGUGGGUUCGAUCCCCAUCAGCUCCAUC
rnacentral:tmRNA from 1 species